rnacentral:piRNA from 1 species
UGCUGGUGAAGAGCUGCUGCGCGGUG